GUGCUCCCUUCAAUAGUAUAUGUGUUAUAAUUGCAAGAUACAGAGAUUAGCGUGUCCCUAUACAAGGAUGAUGUGCAAAUUCAUGAAAUAUUUCAAAUUUUC
ensembl:snRNA U6 U6 spliceosomal RNA